AGAGCGAACGCUGGCGGCAGGCCUAACACAUGCAAGUCGAGCGCCCGUAGCAAUACGGGAGCGGCAGACGGGAUAGUAACACGUGGGAACGCGCCCUUCGGUUCGGAAUAACUCAGGGAAACUUGAGCUAAUACCGGAUACGCCCUUACGGGGAAAGAUUUAUUGCCGAAGGAACGGCCCGCGUCCGAUUAGCUAGUUGGUGAGGUAAUGGCUCACCAAGGCGACGAUCGGUAGCUGGUCUGAGAGGAUGACCAGCAUCACUGGGACUGAGACACGGCCCAGACUCCUACGGGAGGCAGCAGUGGGGAAUAUUGGACAAUGGGCGCAAGCCUGAUCCAGCCAUGCCGCGUGGAUGAUGAAGGCCUUAGGGUUGUAAAGUCCUUUUAACGGGAGAUAAUGACGGUACCGUAGAAUAAGCCCCGGCUAACUUCGCGCCAGCAGCCGC
rnacentral:rRNA from 1 species